ACUAAGCCAUGCGAGUCAUGGGGCGCCUUGCGCGCACCGGCGGACGGCUCAGUAACACGUCGGUAACCUACCCUCGGGAGGGGGAUAACCCCGGGAAACUGGGGCUAAUCCCCCAUAGGCCUGAGGUACUGGAAGGUCCUCAGGCCGAAAGGGUCUCUGACCGCCCGAGGAUGGGCCGGCGGCCGAUUAGGUAGUUGGUGGGGUAACGGCCCACCAAGCCGAAGAUCGGUACGGGCCAUGAGAGUGGGAGCCCGGAGAUGGACACUGAGACACGGGUCCAGGCCCUACGGGGCGCAGCAGGCGCGAAACCUCCGCAAUGCGGGCAACCGCGACGGGGGGACCCCCAGUGCCGUGGCAUCGCCACGGCUUUUCCGGAGUGUAAAAAGCUCCGGGAAUAAGGGCUGGGCAAGGCCGGUGGCAGCCGCCGCGGUAAUACCGGCGGCCCGAGUGGUGGCCGCUAUUAUUGGGCCUAAAGCGUCCGUAGCCGGGCCCGUAAGUCCCUGGCGAAAUCCCACGGCUCAACCGUGGGGCUUGCUGGGGAUACUGCGGGCCUUGGGACCGGGAGAGGCCGGGGGUACCCCUGGGGUAGGGGUGAAAUCCUAUAAUCCCAGGGGGACCGGCAGUGGCGAAGGCGCCGGCUGGAACGGGUCCGACGGUGAGGGACGAAGGCCAGGGGAGCGAACCGGAUUAGAUACCCGGGUAGUCCUGGCUGUAAAGGAUGCGGCU
rnacentral:rRNA from 1 species